rnacentral:rRNA from 1 species
UACAGAGGUCUCAAGCGUUGUCCGGAUUCAUUGGGCGUAAAGGGUGCGUAGGCGGCGCGGUAAGUCGGGUGUGAAAUCUCGGGGCUUAACUCCGAAACUGCAUUCGAUACUGCCGUGCUUGAGGACUGGAGAGGAGACUGGAAUUUACGGUGUAGCGGUGAAAUGCGUAGAUAUCGUAAGGAAGACCAGUGGCGAAGGCGGGUCUCUGGACAGUUCCUGACGCUGAGGCACGAAGGUCAGGGGAGCAAACGGG